GAAAUGCGAUAAGUAAUGUGAAUUGCAGAAUUCAGUGAAUCAUCGAAUCUUUGAACGCACCUUGCGCUCCUUGGUAUUCCUUGGAGCAUGCCUGUUUGAGUAUCAUGAAAUCUUCAAAGUAAAUCUUUUGUUAACUCAAUUGGUUUCUACUUUGGUAUUGGAGGUCUUUGCAGCUUCACACCUGCUCCUCUUUGUUCAUUAGCUGGAUCUCUGUGUUAUGCUUGGUUCCACUCGGCGUGAUAAGUUAUCUAUCGCUGAGGACACUGUAAAAGGUGGCCAAGGUAAAUGCAGAUAAACCGCUUCUAAUAGUCCAUUGACUUGGACAAUACUUUUAUGAUCUGAUCUCAAAUCAGGUAGGACUACCCGCUGAACUUAAGC
rnacentral:misc_RNA from 1 species